rnacentral:rRNA from 1 species
AGAGUUUGAUCCUGGCUCAGGAUGAACGCUGGCGGCAUGCCUAAUACAUGCAAGUCGAACGGAAACCUUCGGGUUUCAGUGGCGAACGGGUGAGUAACACGUAGGUAACCUGGCCAUGUACCCGGGAUAAUUUCUGGAAACGGAAACUAAAACCGGAUAGGCAGGAGGGAGGCAUCUUCCGCCUGUUAAAGGAGCCUCAAAGCUCUGGACAUGGAUGGACCUGCGGUGCAUUAGCUAGUUGGCGGGGUAACGGCCCACCAAGGCAGCGAUGCAUAGCCGACCUGAGAGGGCGAACGGCCACAUUGGGACUGAGACACGGCCCAAACUCCUACGGGAGGCAGCAGUAGGGAAUUUUCGUCAAUGGGGGGAACCCUGAACGAGCAAUGCCGCGUGUGUGAAGACGGUCUUCGGAUUGUAAAGCACUGUUGUAAGAGAAAAACGGCCAUGAUAGGAAAUGAUCAUGGAGUGAUGGUAUCUUACCAGAAAGUCACGGCUAACUACGUGCCAGCAGCCGCGGUAAUACGUAGGUGGCAAGCGUUAUCCGGAAUGAUUGGGCGUAAAGGGUGCGUAGGCGGCGGGAUAAGUCUGAAGUGAAAGGCUGCAGCUCAACUGCAGUAUGCUUUGGAAACUGUCCUGCUGGAGUGCAGGAGAGGGCGAUGGAACUCCAUGUGUAGCGGUAAAAUGCGUAGAUAUAUGGAAGAACACCAGUGGCGAAGGCGGUCGCCUGGCCUGCAACUGACGCUGAAGCACGAAAGCGUGGGGAGCAAAUAGGAUUAGAUACCCUAGUAGUCCACGCCGUAAACGAUGAGAACUAAGUGUUGGGGGAAUAACUCAGUGCUGCAGUUAACGCAAUAAGUUCUCCGCCUGGGGAGUAUGCACGCAAGUGUGAAACUCAAAGGAAUUGACGGGGGCCCGCACAAGCGGUGGAGUAUGUGGUUUAAUUCGAAGCAACGCGAAGAACCUUA